GACCUGGUCACUAGAUGUUUAGCAACUAGUGUGACUAGAACUGUCUAUGCUGUCUUAGGGCUGCAUUACAGAAGGCUUAACAUUCACCUGUCCAUGAUCCCCAGACAACUAAUUUAUCUGCUUAGACCAAUGGAAAACUGCAAGUUUAAAAAUUCUGACUACAGUUAACACCACAGUUAAUGCACUUCCAUAAUGCAAUUAAACAGGCAGAAUCAAAGCUUCAAACUGUCCUGAAAAUGCAAAUAUGAACUAAGAGCCAGCCAGUACUCUAUGGCCCUCGAGAGAAUAAGCAGGAUCCUACUAUGACUCUUGCUUCAUCAACAAACUUGUCAACCACUUUCAGAAAGGUCACAAGACUUUGACCCUACAGCAGGAGCAUAGCACUUCAUGAGACUUCUGUCAAAGCACAUAAUAAAAAAUAAAUAUACUCUAAUAAAAAAAUGUCAGUCUGAUUGCUCAAAUGUGCCUUCCUUACACAUUCUGUCUCCCUCUUUAAGAUGUGGUACACAUGCUGCCAUGAAAAGGAGACCCAUAUGGAGA